GAUGAACGCUAGCGGCAGGCCUAACACAUGCAAGUCGAGCGAGAGGUCACUUUCGGGUUGCCAUAACCGGCGCACGGGUGCGUAACGCGUAUACAAUCUGCCUUUCCUAUAGUUUUAGCUCGCAUAAAUUUGGUUUAAUUACUAAUGGUAUAUAAAAGCGGCAUCGUUUUUAUCUUAAGGCUAUGGUAGCGUACGAUGAGUAUGCGUUCUAUUAGCUAGUUGGUGAGGUAACGGCUCCCCAAGGAGACGAUCGAUAGGGGUUCUGAGAGGAAGGUACCCCAGACGGGUACUGAGAUACGGACGAGUCAGCUACGGGAGGCAGCAGUAAGGAAGAUAGGAGAAGGGACGGAAGACUGAUCCAGCCAUGCCGGGUGCAGGAAGAAGGUGCUAGGGAUGGUAAACUGCUGUUGUAAGAGAGGAAUAGGAGGUACGGGUGGUUUGAUGACGGUACCUUACGAAUAAGCACCGGCUAACUCCGUG
rnacentral:rRNA from 1 species